UAUUAGUAGAGACGGGGUUUCAUCAUGUUGGCCAGGAUGGUCUCGAUCUUUUGACCUCAUGAUCCGCCCCCCUCAGCCUCCCAAAGUGCUGGGAUUACAGGCGUGAGCCACUGCGCCUGGCCUGAAAUUUUUUUUUUUUUAAGAAAAGGCUAAUUCUGGGCUUAAAAAGUAUUCAACUGGACAUCUGCAGCAGAGAAAUUCUUUUAAACAGGUGGAGCUCCCCAGAAGCAGACUGCAGAGAACGGAGUGCAGGAAGAUUCCCAAAGAGAGCCUCGGGAUGAACGCCUACGGAGAAGGUGGCAGUGGGAUCAGGCAGAUGGAGAGGCUGGCUGCGAUGCAGUCACAACCAGGCCUCCACUGAGCCCACGAGGAACCCUGAAACUGGGAUGGCCCUUCAGAGUUAUCCCCAGCUGGAGCAUGGACCAGGCCUUUACAUCUUCCCCUUCGAUCAGACAGGAGGUCCCAUGUGGAUUCUGGAAUCAGAAAAGCCUGCUUCCUGAGUUUGAAUCCAGUCUUCAUCCUUCAACUGUGGGACCCUGGACAAGAACCAACAUCUUCCAGCAGAGACCACCAAGAACACACUUGUGGUUGAAUAAGUUACUAAAUCCCUCCAUGUAUAAAUCUCUCCACCAUAAAAUGGGGGUAAGAAGGCCGGGCGCGGUGGCUCAUGCCUGUAAUCCCAGAACUUUGGAAGGCCGAGGCGGGUGGAUCACCUGAGGUGAGGAGUUUGAGACCAGCCUGACUAACAUGGUGAAAUCCUGUCUCUACUAAAUACAAAAAAUUAGCCAGGCACGGUGGCGGGUGCCUCUAAUCCCAGCUACUUGGGAGGCUGAGGCAGGAGAAUUGCUUGAACCCAGGAGGUGGAGGUUACAGUAAGCUGAGGUUGCGCCAUUGUACUCUAGCCUGGGCAACAGGAGCAAAACUCCAUCUCAUAAAUAAAUAAAUAAAUAAAUAAAUAAAUAAAUAAAUAAAUAAAAUGGGGGUAAGAGCUCUACCUUGUAGGGCAGUUUUGAAGAAUGCAUAAGACGAUGUGACACAGAGGGCAACAGCUCAUUUCGUGUUAUUCUUCCCCCACGAACCCCAUGAGAACACCACACAGCAGCUGCUCGAACACCAAUUUUAUAGGUUGGGAAACUAGAUGGAAAAGGUCAGUGCAUUUUGAUGGAAAUCAGAAGUGAAAUAGCCAUCCAUGCUAAGACUGCAACUAAGCUUCCCAUUUUGAGCGCCAGCAGCAAAUAACCACCAGCAAUUGACACGGGGGUGGCCAGCUCGGCACAGGGUCACAGUGGGGUUGGAGUACUGUCCAGGACCUGGUUUUGGGGAAACUGGGGGCACCAUCGGGACCUGGGGGGUGGGGAGUGGUCAUCACUGGAACCGUGAUGCCUGUGUUUCACUUGGCAGCUUUCGCACUGAGCUCACAGAGAGAUGGCCUUAGGCGCAGAAUCCAGAGAGCACCCCUGGGAAUAGAGUGCACCCUGACUCUGGGUCAGGGACUGAGCAGGGACCAGAACCAACUUCUUUUCUUUCCCACACAUCAUCUUGUCUGCUAAUAAUAGAGUUCAUCACCAGUGAGAUUUCCAGAAUAAAGCCCACCCAGCUUUUUCCCCUAAUUAUAUCCUCUCCCUGGUAAUUGCAGAGUUGUUCAGGGCCUGCAUCUGGCUUGUAAGAGCAUUUCCAGGAAAACCAGAUUGAGUACCACCUCUCACUUGAUAGAACAAAAGGAAAGUUGCACACUUUGAAGGCUCAGCUUCUCCAGUAGAAAGUAACCUGUGGGGCUAUAGAAAGGCACCAGGUAUGGAAUCCCAAGUCAGUUCCUUCUCAGCUAUAUGGAUUUAGGAAUACAUUCAGCCUCAACAUGCUCAGCUGUAAAAUGGGAAUAAAAAAACUGCACUACCCUUCAUAUUCCCGAAGACUGUUGCAAAAAUGAUCUUUAUGGAUUCACAUGUAAAAAGAACUGCACAAUAAUAAAAAAGUAUUUCCUAUACAGUGAUUUUGUUUACCAGCAAAUAAAACAGAUUUGACACAAAAUGAAAAGGUCAUAUAUUAUAACUAAAGUCUCCUUGGUGAUAUAACUAAUGCUCUUCUUUAAUGUUACCUAAUGAUGGUUAAAUCUAGGAAUCUGCUCUUUAAGAAAUCACCAAAAAACCAUCUGGGAUGUCCGGGCUCUGCUUAGUAAGGCAGAGAAGUUGACUCUUACAUAUUAUUUGAUCCAUCCAUUGGCUAUAGUUUGUAUAUUGUUCCCCACCAAAUCUCAUGUUGAACUGUAAUCCCUAAUGCUGGAGGUGGGGCCUGGUGGAAAGUGUCUGGCUUAUGGGGGCAGACCUCUCAUGACUUUGUGUUGUCUUCAGAUGGUUAGUUCUCAUGAGAUCUGGUCAUUUAAAAGUGUGUGGCGCCUUCUCCCCGACCUUGCUCCCAUUCUCACCAUGUGAUGUGCCUGCUUGGCCUUCGCCUUCCGCCAUGAUUGGAAGCUUCCUGAGGCCUCCCCAGAAGCAGAUGCCACUAUGCUUCCUGUACAGCCUGCAGAAACAUAAGCCAAUUAAACCUCUUUUCUUUAUAAAUU
rnacentral:lncRNA from 1 species